GGCGGGGCGGGGGCACGGGGGGAGGAAAGUAGGGGAUCGCAAGACCUUGCGCUUUUGGAGCGGACGAUGUCUGAUUAGAUGCUUGCUGGGGUAAUGGCUUAAGUUAGCUUCGAUCAGUAGCUGGUCUGAGAGGACGACCAAGCCACACUGGGACUGAGACACGGCCCAGACUCCUACGGGAGGCAGCAGUGGGGAAUUUUGGACAAUGGGGGAAACCCUGAUCCAGCCAUGCCGCGUGAG
rnacentral:rRNA from 1 species